AAUACAUGAUGAGAAAAUGUUUCGGUCCCAGAUGAUGUCCGAUGAUAACUGUUACAUUUUUCUGAUGUU
rnacentral:snoRNA from 1 species